rnacentral:lncRNA from 1 species
GGAAGAAGUGUAUUCAGCAUUCUACCUUCUUCCUGAUUCUGUGAGCUUAGACCUGCUUCCACUUUCAAUCUCUCUCAUUGCAGGCUGAAGAGGACUGGCCUUUCAGUGGCCCUCGUGGAACGGUAGGAAGCUGAGCUGGACUCUCUGCCACAUCGUUCGGUUCCCACAACAGCCUGAAAUGGGGUCUUGCCUUGUUGCCCAGGCUGGAGUGCAGCAACGUGAUCAUAGUUUACUGUAGCCUGGGCUCAACUCCUGGGCUCCAGUGAUCCUCCCGCCUCAGCCUCACAAGUAGCUGGGACCAUAGGUGUGAGCCACUGUGUUUGGCUGUAAUCGUUGUUAUUGUAGGCGCAUGUGCAUGAGGACCCUCCCUUCUUAGGCUCCUGACUCUACUUUGCUUGGGUUUGAAACAAGUGACUCCAUCUUGAAAUGGACAACUGGCACAGAAUAGAGCAUUUCAAGGGCAGAUUAGAUGGCAACUUAAAAAAAAGAUGAAGCAGCAGCAGAAAAAAUGGAAGCCAUUUUGGUUAACGGGUCACAUCUUAGCAGUUGGCAGCGUAAGAAGCGGAAGGAUCCACUGGUCAGAAAUGGAGAUUGAGGAGAAGCUGAGAGCACGGAGGGCUUCAGGGGAGAGCCUGUCCUUUGGAAAAGCGGGCAAUUUGCACUCGUGGUAGAUGAGUGGGGAGGCCGCUCAGUCUCUCUGCCCCUUUGCACAUGCUGCACCCGUUUAGUUUGACGUCGUGGAGAGCUCCUCCAGGCACGGGCUGUGUGAAAGGGUUUAAAAGUUUGGGGGCAUGGCUGGGGGUCCCCGCAUGAGGGGUGCUGUGUAGGCUCCCAUCUUUUCUGCCGGUCAUGCUGGGAGCCAACAGCACCGGCUCCUGACGUGGGGACUUGCCCUGUGCCAUGACGUGGGGACUCGCCCUGUGCCCUGCGCCCCGGUUCCUGCUGGUUCUGUGCCUUCUGGACUCAUUUCCUUUCCAGGGUCCGCAACCGCUUCCGACACAAUCACUAUUUUGGCUGCGGCCACGGCUUCAUUCGCUUCAGCUGCGAGCUUUUCUCAGCGCAGAGAGCACAGGGAAGCUGGGAGGAGUCCGCCUAGAUGGUCGUUUUCAGUGAGAGGAUUGGCAUGAAGAAUCCUUGGGACACAGGAAUCAAUCAAGACCUUUGGAUGCCCCUGCCUGCUCUGUCUCUAGAAGCCUCAAGCCCAGCAUCCCCAUGCCGACGUGCUCAUCUCUAGCAAAACACCAGCCUCUCAGCCCUCUCUCCAUAAAGGCCACUAGAAAGUACUGUGAUGCCAGGCUGCUCCACAUCCAGGCAGCCUGGGUGACCACUGCCCUUUAUGAGAAUCAGAAAAAGCUGUCUCCCGAGUAGUUGGAAUUACAGGUGCAUGCCACCAUGCCUGGCUAAUUUUUGUAUUUUUAGUAGAGAUGGAGUUUCACUAUGUUGGCCAGGCUGCUCUUGAACUCCUGACCUCAAAUGAUCCACCCGACUCGGCCUCCCAAAGAGCUGGAAUUACAGGAGAAGCUAAACGUUUUAAAAUAAGUAUAUUAUUUCUGAAUUACUAUAACAGACAUGGACUCCAUUUGAACAAGAUACUUAAUUCCAUCAAAAACUUGUCAAAAUAUACAAAUUUAGUCACAAGACACUUUACUACCAUCUACCAAAGCUGUAGUAAACACACACAUUUUCCAUCUUUGAAAUGAAAUAACGUAUAAUAAUGUUUUCCAAAAUAACAAAGAUGUCUGCAGUGAAUAGCACUCCCUUUGAUGUGGCAACUGGGUCAAUCGUGUUAACAACUGUGAAUUCAUCUUUUUAAGAAAUUCUUUUAUUGUUUCUUUUCUUUUCCGCGACAGUCUCACUCGUGUUGCCCCGGCUGGAGUGCAGUGGCGCUAUCUUGGCUCACUGCAGCCUCCGCCUCCCGGGUUCAAGCAAUUCUCAUGCCUCAGCCUCCUGAGUAGCUGGGAUUAUAGGCACGUGCCACCACACCCAGCUAAUUUUUUUGUAUUUUUAGUAGAGACGGGGUUUGACCAUGUUGGUCAGGGUGGUCUCGAAUUCCUGACCUCAGUUGAGCCGCCGGCCUCGGCCUCCCAGGAAGUGCUGGGAUUACAGGCAUGAGCCACCAGGCCCGGCCUUAUUGUUUCUAUUUGUAAUAAAUCUGUUCCCCUUGC